CCUACGGGAGGCAGCAGUGGGGAAUAUUGCGCAAUGGGCGAAAGCCUGACGCAGCGACGCCGCGUGAGGGAUGAAGGUCUUCGGAUCGUAAACCUCUGUCAGCAGGGAAGAACGGUCACUGUGCUAAUCAGCAGUGAAUUGACGGUACCUGCAAAGGAAGCACCGGCUAACUCCGUGCCAGCAGCCGCGGUAAUACGGAGGGUGCGAGCGUUAAUCGGAAUUACUGGGCGUAAAGCGCUCGUAGGCGGUAUGUCAAGUCAAGGGUGAAAUCCCCGCGCUCAACGUGGGAACUGCCUUUGAAACGGGCAAACUGGAGUGUGUGAGAGGAUAGUGGAAUUCCAGGUGUAGGAGGGAAAGCCGUAGAUAUCUGGAGGAACAUCAGUGGCGAAGGCGACUAUCUGGCACAUAACUGACGCUGAGGAGCGAAAGCGUGGGUAGCAAACAGGAUUAGAUACCCCUGUAGUC
rnacentral:rRNA from 1 species